rnacentral:pre_miRNA from 1 species
AGUGUGAUUGCUGGAUCACAUGCUAAGAGUAUGUUUAGUUUUGUAAGAAACUACCAAACUAUCUUCCAAAGUGACUGUACCAUUUUGCAUUCCCACCAGCAAU